CAAGAAAAGAGUUCAUCUUUUCCUUAAUAGUCAAUCUUUGUCAUUCCAUGCACAGAGAUUUAUUUAAGUGAUCAUCUGUCUCUAUAUAGACGAUCUUUGUUUUCUCCGCCGACUGUUUUACUGAAGUAAGUUAAGAGAGCAGAAAACCUAUGAUUCAUCGAAAAAUUUGAAUAUUGAAGCAUGAGCCAUUCAAAAUCGCGAGUUUCGAGGAGGAGGAUCAAACCUUUGAACAUUUAAUAUUCUGGUUGUUUUUUUUGGAUAGCUCCAUGACUGGAACCAGAAGUACUGUCCGGUCUGCCACCACAUCUUCAUCCAUCCACCACCAAGAGGACCCUCACAUCGGACGUCACAGUGCGCCUGGAGUCCCUUUGACUUGACUUUGGUUGUGCACAGAAGGGUGGUAGGACACUUUUUUUUUUGGACGAUACUCCUUCUUUUAUACAUUUUUUCCCGAUCGAACUUAUUCCUGAGAUCUCAGAGGUUUUCUUUAUUUUUUAUAUUAACUGCUUGGACAUUCUUUUGAUGUGUGGAAUCGUGCAUUUGCUGCAGAAAUGAUUGUCUAAUUGUGUUAUAAAUAAAUCUGUUGUGUUAAGUGUAA